AUCCUGCCCUCAAAGCGCCUCCGCAACAAGGUGGCGGGGUUCACCACCCACCUGAUGCGCCGCAUCCAGCGCGGCCCCGUCCGCGGCAUCUCCCUCAAGCUGCAGGAGGAGGAGCGCGAGCGGCGCAUGGACUUCGUCCCGGAGAAGUCGGCGCUCGAGGUCGAGGAGAUCCGCGUCGACAAGGAGACCAUGGAGAUGCUCGCGGCCCUCGGCAUGGCCGACCUCCCCGGCGUCGAGCGCCAGCAAGAGGUCUCCAACGCCCCCGCCUACGGCCGCCCGCAGUACGGUGGUCCCCGCCGUGACCGCGUCUAGGCUUCACGCUGUUAUCGCCGUGGUUGCCUCUUGAUCUGCCAUUCGUAGUUACUAUGCUACUUUGUUAAACUUAUCUUUGGUUGCUUCUGAGGCGGUUAAGUUUUGAACUUGUGUUAUGCUAUAAAUUCUUAAGUGUUUGGGUCUGCGUGUGAUGGACAUGAGAUUUAUAUUCUCGCGCCAAUGAAGUCUUAAGAUAUUUUAUAAGUUACUAUGAGAUGUUCCUACAUUUUUGUUUGUUUGCUCGUUAUCGUGCAUGUGACAUAGGGAUAUCUGAUUUAGUAAAUUGCAUGCCUUUAGAUCUAUAUUUAAAUUGGUGUUGCUGGUUUGUUCAUUGUGUCCUAUGCAGAUUAAAUCUGUUCGAUAUUCAUUCCAUCGCUGUACAAUUCCAUGCUGCCUAGGUGUGUGGCUGUUAGCUAGGGCUGCUGUGAUCUGGGUUGAUGAAGUCUUAUCAGUCCAAUGAGAUUUAGUUACAGUGUUACACAUUUUCAAUUUAAUUAGUUCUUUUCUAGUGAACUGAAUUGGCUGGCCAUAUUUGUUAGCCUCUUUUGAACACAUGCAAUUGGGUUUGCUUUCUUUCAAGUAUUACCAUAACCUUUUCUUAUGGCAUAGCAUUUUCACUUUCAUAUCUGCCAUACGCUUGUCCUUCAUGUCGUCAGCACUGGUUUUUUCAGUCCUUCGUUUCUAGUACUUUCACUUUCAUCCAUAUUUGCCAUAAACGUUCUACAUGUUGUCAGCACUGUGGUCAUUUCAUUUCUUUGUUUCUAUAUAGGAAACAUAGCUUGCUUGAAUCUAAUUGGUUAAUUUUGUUUCAUUUAAGUAGUUUAAAAUAACUUGGGGUUAAAAUUCAUUGUUAAUGCUGAAAUCUUUCUAUGAUACAGAGGUAAAUAGUGAUAUGUUGGUACAGCAUUAAAGUGGAUUUUUUCUUGAAUUCAAAAAUACCAUGUUUGUUUGUAUGUCAUGCCAAUUGUACAUUGUUUGAUGAUGUUUGGUUUUGUAGAAUGUUGCUUCUAUUUUAUGAAUAAUAUUGUUCAACUUGUUGCUUUAAAUCCAUAAAUCUCAGCUUCAUUAGUUUCACAAGAUAUGCUUGUUCUGAACUGCUGGAGGUGCAAGCCUCAUAUUUUUGUCCAGCAAGCAAAGUGGUGCCUGUCUGAUUCUUUUUUACUUUAAUCUGUUACCGUUUGUUUUAUUUUUGCGGGCAGAGUUUGGUGUUUAUUUUUUGGGGGCAGAGUAGAGGAAUAAAGAUGAUCGCUGAUGAGCCGUGUGAGGCUGUAUGAAUUAUGGAAUUAAUAUAAACACAACCUGAUUAGCAUCAGGAAUCAUUUGCUUUUGCCAAGUUUGUUUUUUUGUAUGGUUCCUGUUGUUUGCCAUAGGUAAUAUUGCUCCCCUAAGUUAAACAUGUUGCAGAUCUGUGGUUUAACUUUUUUACAUGGUUGCUUCUGUUGUGUUGAGCAUUAAACUUACCAGUUAUGGUAAAAUUUAAAAUUCUUUAGUCCGUGAUGGACGCUGUUUUGAAAACUGAGUAUGAGAUGUUGGGACUUGCAAUUAUUCAUGUGUAUUAUUCUGACUGCUGAAAUGUGAAAGCUGCCUUUAUUGUUGACCGCUGAAAUGUGGUGUAACGGUUAGCGAUUUCUGUACAAUGGUUGGCCGUGGUGCCGCGGUAUUUUGUCUCGACCUACAAAUUCGUAUACAGCUCUACACAUACGUUUAUAGGCGAUUUAGAUUUGUUUCACUCUAAUCUUACGCAAGCGUUCAUUUUUUCUUGAUUUUCGGCCUCGGGCCAACAUGGAAAGGCGAGUAGAAGACUUGCAAAGUGACAGCCGGUGUAUCCUGCGUGCUGAUCUUGCACAGGAAAGUGCCCCAAAUAUUGUUUUCCAUCCGUCAUUUGGGCUUUGUAGACCCAUAUUUCGUCUUGCAUUUUAAGGAAAUGACUCGAAACAGUAGAUUAUAAAUCGCUGUAGACAAGAUAUAAUCAAAUUUUAAUCAUCGACUAGGAUAAGACUAUUUCUGAAACGGUGAAGAUUACAAAGGCGUGAGGCAACUCAACUGAUGUUGCAUCAGGACACAACUCUACAAGGCCGUGGAUCCGUGUAUAUGCCAGAAUGAUUGGUAUGGUGCGGGUGCCAUCCGGCUCCACUAGCCUUGCUGGCCCUAAAAAUUUUGGUUCCGAGGAGCCGACGACUCCAUGUUCCAGGUCAACUCCGGUUCUCCGCCUCAGAGGCAGCUUGCCCGCCCACCUUCGUUAGCCGGCCGCUGGGGCGCCGGCGCUAGCAUCGCCGCAUGCCGGCAGCCGGCAGGUUUGACCAGUGACUAGUGCGUGUCCUUCCUCUAGCCUCUUUAUCUCAGGUUUCAUUCCUCGCUUUGGUCUGGUGCAUCUUAUGCUAAGGCCUCGUUUAGUUCACCUCAAAAACAAAAAAAUAAAAAUUUUUAAGAUUUUUUGUUACAUUAAAUCUUGCAGCAUAUGCAUGGAGCAUUAAAUAUAGAUUAAAAUAAAAAUUAAUUGUACAGUUUGUCUGUAAAUCGUAAGACGAAUCUUUUAAGCCUAGUUACUCUAUGGUUGAACAAUGUUUGUCAAAUAAAAACGAAAGUGCUACAGUAGCCCAA
rnacentral:lncRNA from 1 species